rnacentral:lncRNA from 1 species
CACCUAAUUAUGAUAAAAUUAGAUUUAGAUAUCCACCAAGAUAUUAUAAAUAUAAUUUAAAAUGAAUAAAAUACAACAAUACAAAGAAUUAAAACAAAUUAUUUCUGAAAAACGUAAAGAAUUAAAAAUAAGAAUAAAAAGACUACAUUAUAAUAUAUUUGCCGGAGUUAGUAAAAACUCAAUAAAUACACAAAAAGAUGAAAUAUCAAAAUUAGAAUCACAAAUAGAUAGUUUAGAAUAUAUAUAUCAACAUGAACUAUUCACAAUAAAAUGAACAA